rnacentral:rRNA from 1 species
UGGGGAAUAUUGCACAAUGGGCGCAAGCCUGAUGCAGCAACGCCGCGUGAACGAUGAAGGUCUUCGGAUCGUAAAGUUCUGUUGCAGGGGAAGAUAAUGACGGUACCCUGUGAGGAAGCCCCGGCUAACUACGUGCCAGCAGCCGCGGUAAUACGUAGGGGGCUAGCGUUAUCCGGAUUUACUGGGCGUAAAGGGUGCGUAGGUGGUCCUUCAAGUUGGUGGUUAAAGGCUACGGCUCAACCGUAGUAAGCCGCCGAAACUGGAGGACUUGAGUGCAGGCGAGGAGAGUGGAAUUCCCAGUGUAGCGGUGAAAUGCGUAGAUAUUGGGAGGAACACCAGUAGCGAAGGCGGCUUUCUGGACUGCAACUGACACUGAGGCACGAAAGCGUGGGUAGCAAACAGG